rnacentral:tRNA from 1 species
UCUCCUGGGUCGCUCAGUUGGUAGAGCGCUCCACUGGAAAUAGUGAGGUCCCUGGUUCGAUCCCACGACGAGAU